rnacentral:tRNA from 1 species
AUUGCUUUCUCCUGUCGAGAAACCGCCUGCUAAGCGGGUAUACGGUUUAACACCGUAUCGAGGGUUCGAAUCCCUCUCUCUCCA